GGCUGAGUGACAGACUACGUUUCUGUAUUUUACACAAGAAAGCAAAGUGCGCAAGAGCUGCAGGGUCGCACAUCAUGGGAGGGAAGGCAUUCAUCAUCGUGAUCAUGUCAGGGCUGUGUACCCUCCCCUCAUGUUUUCCUCGUCAGUACCACCUUGUUGAAGAGGAAAAGACCU